rnacentral:rRNA from 1 species
AUGUCGAGAGCAGAUGAUUUUGUAAAGGGCAGUGAUAGGCGCCGGCGCGCCGGCCCAAAUUUCGGCCGGUCGCGUCCCAGCCAUCCGAUUCCGUUUAUAUAUGCCGUCAGAUCCUUCCGCGUGGGUGCCUUCUUUUCGUCGUCUUUCUCUGGUCACCACGCAGCUCCGCUCGCCUCCCAGACAGUCGUUGCCUCGCCGCCCACCUCGUUGCCUCCGCCCACCCCCACCGGCUUGCCUCGCCGCCAACGCUCGCCGUUGUCCUCGGUCGCCGCCAUUGCCGGUCGCCUUUUUGAGCUGAGAAAAGAAAACACAGGGAGCCAUGGCGGCUGCAACCCCCUCCCCCCUCCCCUCGCCGUCAAUAGUAGCCACCUGCACACCCCUCACCGGUGCUGCCAACCCCCCUGUCCCCUGCAGAAUUAA